GCAAUUUUUGCCGCCUUUAGUAUGUACCACAAACGCAUCGGUGUACCACUGAUCCAGUACAAAAUGAAGGUUCUACUACUUUUAUUUGUUGUGUUGGCCACAGUGUGCGCUCAAAGAUACAAUAAAUGCUUACAGCCAGUUAAAACUGGCCCGUGUAAAAGGCACGUUCCCAGAUUCGCCUACACCAAAGAGAAGGGCUGCCACAAAUUCAUAUAUGGUGGUUGUAAAGGCAACGGCAACAACUUUGAAUAUUAUGGACAGUGUAGGAGAACAUGCAUGACUCCCCCACAACAAAAUAAUAAACAUUUUAAUAAUAAUAAUAAGAGAAACACUGUCAAAUUAUAAACUUAUAAUAAAACUGAAUAAAUGUACUGAAAAGUCUUUGAAUUAUACCCAAAGUCACUCUAAUUUUUUUUAACGAAUUUACCGAUUAUUUUUUAGGUUGUUUGUAAAUCUUUCACCCAAACACUACUGAACGGAUUUUGAUGAAACUUAACAGCAUUAUUGUCGAUAGACAAAUAGACAUAUAGGUACAUAAACACUAUUCUGGUGUGUGCCAAAAUACUGGUCAAACUUGAAUAAAAUAUUUUUUUUGAAGAUUUGAUUUUGUUAAAAACGGAUUUUGUGAACCAGGAAAAACAUAGGAUAGUUUGGUCCCUAGACUGUAUUGUAAUUUUUUGUGACAGUUCGAUAUACACGCGGGCAAAACCGCGGGAAAAAGCUAGUUAAUAUAGCAGAAAUGAUUGUUUUGUUGCAUAUCUUUAGGUUAUCAUCUUGCGCCACAUUAUAAAUGUUUUGGUUCUAUUAUCGGAGGAGUCACUCGGGCAACAUGAAGAUUCUACUGCUGUUGUGUGUUCUUGUGCUGAGCACUGUUAGUGCGGAAAACCCAACAUGUAUGAUGCCAAUUGAAAGCGGCAAUUGUUUCGGCAAUUUUCCCAG